rnacentral:rRNA from 1 species
UUGUCCUACGGGGCGCAGCAGUGAGGAAUAUUGGUCAAUGGGCGGGAGCCUGAACCAGCCAAGUUGCGUGAGGGAAGACGGUCCUAUGGAUUGUAAACCUCUUUUGUCGGGGAGCAAGACCCGCCUCGUGCAGGCGGAGCGAGAGUACCCGAAGAAAAAGCAUCGGCUAACUCCGUGCCAGCAGCCGCGGUAAUACGGAGGAUGCGAGCGUUAUCCGGAUUUAUUGGGUUUAAAGGGUGCGCAGGCGGACCAUCAAGUCAGCGGUAAAAUCGUGGGGCCCAACCCCAUCCCGCCGUUGAAACUGG